GAUAGUCGGGGAACUCGACUAUAGCGUUCUCUCUUGUUUUUUAUUCGAAUUGUUGUAUUUGCACAUUACGAAUGUUUACUGCAAUCACAUGGCGAAUUUUAUUAGAAUUCCAUUGUUCAAUUAGCUUUGAGCGCUUAUAUAAACGUGUAAGGGGAUUUAUGAGAGCUGAACUAAUGUGAGUUGAUUUCGUGUUCAUUUUUCCCUUGUUGAAAUAAAUUUAUUGCAAUGAGAAUAUUGCAAAAUUAAAUCAAUACGAAUAAUAUCGUACUUAAGAGAAUUAGAGAAUAGAAUUUUUAUUUUGAAUUAUUAAAACUUCCUAGCUCAUUAGUCAUUACUUCACUGACUUACGCUUCGAGUUAUAAUUUAUCACCGCUAUCAGAUCCUAAUUUCUCUAACACGAUGCCAAACAUCUUAAUGACAACAAUCUUUUCGCCGGCAUUCAGUUCAAAUCACAAAUCUGUCUCACUUUUUGCACUACAAAAAUUCCGCCGAUUCAAUCACGAACAUCGAACACUUGUCAAGCGAUUGUGACAAAGUCAGCGAUUGAGUCGAGGCGAAAUCAAAGUGUAACCAAUUACCAAGUGACUAACCAACUUUAGUCGGAAGAAGUCGUCUGGGGAUGGGAAGAUGCAGCUGGGGAGACUGGAAAACCAGUUGGUGGUGCAGUCCGAGGCGAUUCCUUGGAAAAUCAUUAACGUGUCUUAGGCAUAAAUAAUUAAAAAAUCAAGCAGCUCCGUGGACGACUGUACCCGUCAAGUCAACGUCUUGUUUGUUGGCCAGCACAUCCUGGUGCUGCACGCUGAAAGCCUUUCAGCAGAUACAAAGAUACAAAUGUAUCUGCAGCUUGUUGUUGCUCCCAUUGCUGCAAUUACACAUAGGGGAUAGAUGGAUGGGUCGUUACAGGCAGUACGCUUGUCAAUAUGAUGGCUAUGUGUUUGAAAGUGACAUCCCGUACACAGAGAAAAAUUAAUAUGAAUACGAUAUAACAAAA